rnacentral:tRNA from 1 species
GAGGGUAUAGCUCAGUGGUAGAGUGCAUGCUUAGCACGUACGAGGUCCUGGGUUCAAUCCCUAGUACCUCCA